AUUUCCUGAGAGAUGAAUGCAAUAUAUGAACAUUAUGAAGAAGUUCACAUUACAAAGCUACAAACUUAACCCACUGCAAAUGCUACCUUUCAGAUCUUGGACUUGGUUGUAUAGUUUUCGAUUUUCUUCAAGAACUCUUCGGUAUUCUGAAGCAGCAUAAGCCACACUAUACAUGCGCUUACCUAAUUUAGGCGGGCAGUUAGACUGAGAAUACAUUUGAAGGACAACUUUCUGCUUCAGGAAAGCUCUCUGCCUCGAGACAAAUUGUUACCUCUGGACUGUCUUUUGGACUAUUUAUCUCUUCAACACAACUUGUUGCUUCUGGACUACUUAUUUCUUCAGGAGAACUAGUUGUUUCCUCUUCCAUCUUAAUCUCUCGAAAACAUAACAUAUGUUAGCAUCUCAUCCAGCUUAAGAAGAAAUGGUCUUCAACUAUAAACUUAGUGCCAAAAUGUUGUCGUAAGAUAUAUAAUUCACAGCUUACCGUUUCAUCAGCAGAAGUUAUCUGUGGAGGAGAUUUGUUAGAUAUAGAUUCUGCCACAUCUUCUGGACUU